UUUCACUGGGAAGCUGCCAGUAGAGCCAUUAUGGACUGUUCCCAACUGAAGCUCAAGCAGAUCCAGGGUACACAAGAAGACCUCAUUUAGGAGGUGCUGUCCUCAUAGGAGACGUCCAAAGUCAGCGGCUCAAUGACUUAGUCUCUUUUGAACGUAUUAUCAACUGUCUUCCUGCUGGCAAUGAACAGGAUGUCCAACCUCCCUACAGUUGCCUCUCCAGACUCCACAAUUUCUGUAUAGAAGAAGCUUAGAAGAUGCAACAUAUCUGGAAGCAGAGAGUUGGAGUCUUGAAAAUGAGUUUUCUACUACUUUAGAAAAUACUGAGGGAUAAGUUUUUCUAGAAAUGGCCAAUCCACACUUUUCUCUACAACUGGUGUUGCCUUUCUCUUUCGCUGUAUGUUGAAAUAACUGAAACACAGAAAAAGAUAUAAGGCACAGCGGCAGGGUUGCAGUGUUCUUCUCACAGAAAUGUUAACUUGCCCAUCAAGAAGAGUAUAUGAUUUGCAUGCUGGCCUAUCCCAUAAGAAAGACCCAGCACUGGGCAACAAAGUAACUCUUCGAAAUCUCCAAUUUUUCUUCUAGAAGGGAAUAUCUCAGAUGUAAAGAAAUGGUGGAAUGUCUCCACUCAGUAUUUUGGAGUGGACAGAAGCUCCUGCUGUCCUGGCCAGCAGUAUUGCUGGGGAAGAACAUGACUCCUGCUUACAGUGAUGAGGAUUAAAAAUGGCUGAUAUGGAGUGGGGGAAUGGGUAAAUCCCUGGAUUUGGAACCAGAUGGAACCAAGUUUAAAUCCUGACUCUGCUAUUUACUGGACUUGGAAAAAAAAAAA